rnacentral:rRNA from 1 species
UAAGCGGAGGAAAAGAAACUAACAAGGAUUCCCCUAGUAACGGCGAGUGAAGCGGGAAGAGCUCAAAUUUGUAAUCUGGCACCUUCGGUGUCCGAGUUGUAAUCUCGAGAAGUGUUUUCCGCGCCAGACCGCAUACAAGUCUGUUGGAAUACAGCGUCAUAGUGGUGAGAACCCCGUAACUGAUGCGGAUGCCUGGUGCUCUGUGAUACACUUUCGAAGAGUCGAGUUGUUUGGGAAUGCAGCUCAAAUUGGGUGGUAAAUUCCAUCUAAAGCUAAAUAUUGGCGAGAGACCGAUAGCGAACAAGUACCGUGAGGGAAAGAUGAAAAGCACUUUGGAAAGAGAGUUAACAGUACGUGAAAUUGUUGGAAGGGAAACGCUUGAAGUCAGACUUGCUAUUUGGAAUUCAGCCGCAAGGUGUACUUUUCAAUUUGCAGGCCAGCAUCAGUUUUUGGGGAUGGAAAAGGAUUAGGAGAAGGUAGCAGUUUCGGCUGUGUUAUAGCUCUUAAUUGGAUUCAUCCUUGGGGACUGAGGAACGCAGCUUCGGCUUAGGAUGCUGGUGGAAUGGCUUUAAACGACCCGUCUUGAAACAC